CCUAGCUUCCUACUUGCCUUGGUGACCACAAGGUCAUAGUGCAAGCAAGCACAUUAGCCUCUCUGUGCCUCAAUUUUCUCACGUCUAACAUGGGGUUAAUAACGGUAUCUACUUCAUAGACUUGGGGAAGAUUAAAUGACUCAGAUGUCCUGUACAUAUUAAGCACUAGAUAUAUGCAUAAAUAUGCAUGCAGUAAGCGCCGUAGAAGUGUUUGUUAUUAUGACUAAAAGCAAACUUGUGAGUGAGUGCGGAAAAGUGAAAGCACAUGACUUGUUCGGGCAAUGGAGAGCAGUUUAGUGUGCCUUGAAGAUUCAGUGAGAUGAAGAUGUUGAGAAGAGGAUAGCAAACAGGAGGCCCCGGCUCAGGUCACAGACUGUUUCAGGGACUUUGAACUUGACCCUUAGGAAAUAGGGAGCCAAUAUAAGUUUAAUUAUUGUGGUUGCUGCUGCUGCUGCUGCUGCUGUUGUUGUUAUUAUUAUUAUUAUGCUAAGACACACCUAAUGUACCCAUUUCAACCAUUCCAGGACAUUCUUGACCAGUUCUGGCUGCUACAGUUGAAUGCCACAGACGGGGUGCUUAAACAACAGAUAGUUAUUUCUCAUGGUUUGGGAAGCUGGGAAGUCCCAGAUCAGGGGGCCAGCGGGGCUGGAUUCUGCUGACAACACUCUUCCUGGAUUGCAGAUGUCUGUCUUCUAUCCUCACAUGAUGAUGGGGAGAGACCGAGAGGGUGGGAGACCCAGAGGGGAUAGAGUGAGAGACAGGAAGGGAGAGGGUGAGAGGGAGGAAGAGACAGAGACCGAGAUUGAGCAGGGGCAGGGGAGGGGGCAAGCCUGCUCCCAGGUCCUUCUCAAAAAGGCACUAAUCCCAUUCAUAAGGGCUCCACCCUCCUGACCUAAUAAUCUCUCAAAGUCCCUACCUCCAAGUAUCAUUCCAUUCGGGGUUAAGAGUCUAAAAUAUAAUUUUGGGAAAAACAUUCAGCCAAUAACGACCACUCUCUAGUUCUGCGUAAGGUUUAGAGCUGGGGAAAGGCUGCUUGACAGCAGGCUGCGCCUCUUGCAUUCCCAGGGAGAGUGUUGGGGACUGAAAAAUUACUGGACCUACUUUCAACCACUAUCCCGCCGGCCCCAUGAUUCCUGAAAAGAAGACGAUGCUUCUGAGCCCCACCUGCAAAGCAGGCACUUUGAACCAUGUUCCCAGUCAUAGCAGAGAUGUCUGUCACCAAGAGGACACCUUUCUGAGACACCUGGGUGCCCAGUGACCCCCCAGGAAGAUCUUCAGACUCUAACCACCUGAGGAAGCAGCCCUGGCUUACUUCACCCACGAGGCCACGGCCAUGAGAAAGAAGACACCAUGCUGACCUCACUCACUGGACACGCCACCAUCUUCCAAGAGCCCUGCACACUUUUCUUCUCGUCUUCCACUCGAACAUUGGCCAGCUGAUGCUCCAGUGUCUACCAUCUGCCCUUCUACAGCCUUCUCGGUCACUUUAGCCUCUGCAUCAAUACAUUUUGAAGACCAUUCCUCACGAGCGAGUUUGGCCCAGUGGUAGUCGGCGUGGGCAGGAGCACGGGAACUCUGAGCAUUCAGGAAAAGCCAGAAGGAAACCCCAGAGAGAGGAUGGACCGAAGAUGUAUUUGGCUUUGGUGCUCAUUGUACCUGAUCUGGCCUCAGAAGCAACCAUUGUCCCCUUUCCCAGUCCAGAGGGGGGCAAUGCCAAGGACGGUUGGCACUUUUCAAGCCUUGGCUUACACUUGUUCGAGGAUGGAAAAAUUUAUUUAUUCUGGCCCAGGCUCGUGGGGCUGGGGGACUCCCAGGACAGGGGGCCUGUAU